rnacentral:rRNA from 1 species
GCAGAGCACUCCUCGGGAGGCAGCAGUGGGGAAUAUUGCACAAUGGGCGCAAGCCUGAUGCAGCCAUGCCGCGUGUAUGAAGAAGGCCUUCGGGUUGUAAAGUACUUUCAGCAGUGAGGAAGGUGGGUAUGUUAAUAGCAUAUUCAUUUGACGUUAGCUGCAGAAGAAGCACCGGCUAACUCCGUGCCAGCAGCCGCGGUAAUACGGAGGGUGCGAGCGUUAAUCGGAAUUACUGGGCGUAAAGCGCAUGCAGGUGGUUUGUUAAGUCAGAUGUGAAAGCCCCGGGGCUCAACCUCGGAAUUGCAUUUGAAACUGGCAAACUAGAGUACUGUAGAGGGGGGUAGAAUUUCAGGUGUAGCGGUGAAAUGCGUAGAGAUCUGAAGGAAUACCGGUGGCGAAGGCGGCCCCCCUGGACAGAUACUGACACUCAGAUGCGAAAGCGUGGGGAGCAAACAGGAUUAGAUACCCUGGUAG